CCUUUCGACGGCCCAAAUCCCUCCCUCCCUACCGAUAGCCCCUUCCUUCUCUCCCUCACUCUAAAUCGCCUUCCCUCCUUCACACACUCCCUACCGUCAGCCUCUUCCCUCACUCACUCCCUCUCGUCAGCCUCUUCCCUCACUCACUCCCUCUCGUCAGCCCCUAAUCCCUCCCUCCCGUCAGCCCCUAAUCCCUCUCUCCCGACAGGCCCUUCCUUCCCUCCCUCACUCUAAAUCGCCCUUCCCUCCCUCCCGACAGUCCCUCUAAGAUCCUGAGUUUUGGUGAGAUCCUGGGUUUUGGAAAAUUUUAAGGAAUUCAGUGGAAGAGUGAAGGGCCUAAAGGUGGAUGCAGUGGACAGUACGGGUGUUGGGGAUGCUUUUGUAGCUGGAAUAUUGUCACAGUUAGCUGAGGAUCUAUUUUUGCUUCAGAUAGUGCCACUAAGAACUUAAGAUAUCUUGUAUAGGAAAAUGAAUGCCAAUCGACAUUGGAUGUAUAAUAGGCUUAAGGACGCGUUGUUAAUGAACGAGCUGAAAUUGUUUAUGUAAGUUUCUAUAUAAAUAAGUUAUCUUUUAAAGCAAUCAAACUUAUUUAUUUGAUAUUAUUUUGUGAUUAUCGGGUUAUAUGAUCAAUUUUGGUUUAUAUGCAUUUGAUUAGUACUUGCAGUAGCAUUUUAGGGAUAUAAAAUAAUGCACUUUGUGAUUUGGUCUGCUCAAUUAGACUUGAGCGCCUACUCUUAGGAUUUUAGAUGAUGAUCCUUCAAUCUAAUUAUUGUAUAUUGACAUUUCAGGUAAUUGUUGUUACUUUAUUAAAUAUUCAUUUGAUACUUAUUAAGAGAUAGCCCUUCUACUUAAGAAAUCUAUAUUGUAUUAUGAUAUCUUAAAGGUAUUAUAAUUAUGGUAUCUUGCAUAUAUUAUGAUUGUCUUGUCUUGAAAAUAUUAGCAUAUUCAAAUUAAUCUAUUAUUGUG